rnacentral:rRNA from 1 species
UACAGAGACUGCAAGCGUUAUUCGGAUUCACUGGGCGUAAAGGGUGCGCAGGCGGCCAAGUGUGUUAGGCGUGAAAGCCCGGGGCUUAACCCCGGAAUUGCACCUAAAACUACAUGGCUAGAGCAUUGGAGAGGGUAGCGGAAUUCACGGUGUAGCGGUGAAAUGCGCAGAUAUCGGGAGGAACACCGGUGGCGAAGGCGGGUCUCUGGACAGUCCUGACGCUGAGGCACGAAGGUCAGGGGAGCAAACGGG